rnacentral:rRNA from 1 species
UACGAAGGAUCCAAGCGUUGUCCGGAUUUACUGGGUUUAAAGGGUGCGUAGGCGGCCUAUUAAGUCAGGGGUGAAAGACGGUAGCUUAACUAUCGCAGUGCCUUUGAUACUGAUAGGCUUGAAUGUACUUGAGGUAGGCGGAAUGUGACAAGUAGCGGUGAAAUGCAUAGAUAUGUCACAGAACACCAAUUGCGAAGGCAGCUUACUAAAGUAUGAUUGACGCUGAGGCACGAAAGCGUGGGGAUCAAACAGG